rnacentral:rRNA from 1 species
UGGGGAAUUUUGGACAAUGGGCGCAAGCCUGAUCCAGCAAUGCCGCGUGCAGGAUGAAGGCCUUCGGGUUGUAAACUGCUUUUGUACGGAACGAAAAAGCUCUCUCUAUUACAGGGGGUGAAUGACGGUACCGUAAGAAUAAGCACCGGCUAACUACGUGCCAGCAGCCGCGGUAAUACGUAGGGUGCAAGCGUUAAUCGGAAUUACUGGGCGUAAAGCGUGCGCAGGCGGUUUUGUAAGACAGAGGUGAAAUCCCCGGGCUCAACCUGGGAACUGCCUUUGUGACUGCAAAGCUGGAGUGCGGCAGAGGGGGAUGGAAUUCCGCGUGUAGCAGUGAAAUGCGUAGAUAUGCGGAGGAACACCGAUGGCGAAGGCAGUCCCCUGGGCCUGUACUGACGCUCAUGCACGAAAGCGUGGGGAGCAAACA